UGGGGAAUAUUGGACAAUGGGCGAAAGCCUGAUCCAGCCAUGCCGCGUGUGUGAAGAAGGUCUUCGGAUUGUAAAGCACUUUAAGUUGGGAGGAAGGGCAGUAAGCGAAUACCUUGCUGUUUUGACGUUACCGACAGAAUAAGCACCGGCUAACUCUGUGCCAGCAGCCGCGGUAAUACAGAGGGUGCAAGCGUUAAUCGGAAUUACUGGGCGUAAAGCGCGCGUAGGUGGUUCGUUAAGUUGAAUGUGAAAGCCCCGGGCUCAACCUGGGAACUGCAUCCAAGACUGGCGAGCUAGAGUAGGGCAGAGGGUGGUGGAAUUUCCUGUGUAGCGGUGAAAUGCGUAGAUAUAGGAAGGAACACCAGUGGCGAAGGCGACCACCUGGGCUCAUACUGACACUGAGGUGCGAAAGCGUGGGGAGCAAACAGG
rnacentral:rRNA from 1 species